rnacentral:misc_RNA from 1 species
AACGAGGCCGACCUGCGGCUGAGUUACCUGCGGAGGGAUCAUUACCGAGUGAGGGCCCUCCGGGUCCAACCUCCCACCCGUGUUUAACGAACCUUGUUGCUUCGGCGGGCCCGCCUCACGGCCGCCGGGGGGCACCCCGCCCCCGGGCCCGCGCCCGCCGAAGACACCUGUGAACGCUGUCUGAAGUUGCAGUCUGAGACACUAGCUCAAUCAGUUAAAACUUUUAACAACGGAUCUCAG